GCUCUCGGUGGACCCCUUGCCUUUGGGGAACCGGUAGGGACACGGAGGCCCCCAGGCACAGAUCAGGCGUCGCUUUCUCUCCUUCGGCGCUGGAUGCCGGCCGGCAGUGGGCCGUGUCCUUGCCCUGAGGGCUCCCUGGGCGUGCGGCUCGCGGACGCAUUUCCUCAGUCCGGAGGGAGGACUUGUCUGGGCAGCUGCUCCGGCUCCGUCUGUGAUUCCCCGGGGGCCCCACGCCGCGCCCGGAUGGUGGGUGACCCGCCUUCCUUCAUCCGGUGAACGGCCUGCCAGGCCCUUUGCAAUGAGAGCACACCCAGAGCCCUGCUUUCAUGAACUCUAUCACCUACCGACGGAGCCAUUGGUGAAAUGCCUAAUGGUUCCAGUGAACAUUUCCAACGGUGACACAUUUUAAUAAGGAAGGAAGAGGUCCAGAGUGCUAGGAGUAUGAAUGAGCAAGAGCCUGAUCCAGACCUGGGGGGUCGAGGAAGUGAUGCUGGACGCUGAGAGAGGAGCAGGCGUCAACUGCGUAAAGAGGAGCAGGCCAUGGCCGCAGAGAGCCUGGCCUGGUAAGAGAACAGCAAGAGCUGUGUGGCAAGGUCCGAGACUGGAGGACAGUGGAGGAGGCGGGGCCACAGAGACCCACAAGGACAGCACGCCACGGGAGAGGCUGUGGUCUAGGUCCUCAGAGGGAUGGGGAGCCACUGAAGGAUUUUAACCAAAAUAGGGACACGCGUGUUUCCAAAAGAUGGGAGGAGGAGCCAGAAUGUAUGUGUCCAGAGGAGAUGAGCAGGCUAUGGAGCAUUUUAAAAAAUCACUGGAAUCAUUUGUUCUUUAAAGCCUAGGAAUCUCACCUCCUCACCUUGGCUGUGAGGUCUUCUGAGGCAAGAAUGCCUGUUCUUUCUUGGGCUUGUCCUCCAAGCCUGGCCAGCCAGAGGACUGGACACCUAAGAGCUGCUGGCCUUUCCUUGAACUCUGCGGGCUGCUGGGGAACAGAGAGCCGUAAGGGAGGAACAGCUUGCACCCCAGUGUCUGCAGGAGGCUCCCAAGCAACCACCUUGCACCCUGGAGCCCUUCCCAGCAGUGGGAGGCUGGACAAGGCCAGGACCCCAUUAAGGAAGCCCUGACUGGGGUGAGGAAUCUUGGGGCCAGCUGGCCUUGCUGCUUCUGGUUCCACACUGAGCCUGGAUCCUAUCCACUUACUAUCCAAAGCCAAUGUAUGCCCCUCUCCUGUCCUGUGAUAUCCCAGGGCAGAGGCCUCAUACUAGUACAACACAUCUCUGUAGCCUGACUAGCUCAGAGCAACCAUAGGAAUUGUAUGCAGAACAGAUCUGCACCUGUGCACAGCUCACACCAACAUCCCUAGGCCCAGAGCCCAAGCCCAGGCCUAUCUCCUCCAGCUCAGAACCCUCACUUAGUGCUAAGUUUCAUUAACUGUUUAGAGCCCAUCAGGUCAUAAGUUAUCCCUUUAGUUGCUCCCUAAAGGAGCCAGGCUGGGCCAGAUAUCCUCAAGCGGAAUGUGUUGGGGAGAAAUGGUACUCCCCUGUCAGAGGAGGGAGCCCCCACAGGAGGCCAUACUGGGAAACUCCUCUCCUCCCACAUGGUUCCCAAUCCCUGCAUGGCCCAAUACUAAGUCCCAGCAGACAAAAGUGGGGCUUUUCCAUGCCAUGCUGGAUCUCAGCCUCCAUGAGAAGGCUCUGGAAGGACUAAGAAUCUUGAGCUGGGCCAGCCAGAUAAGCCCAGAGGGACCAAACGUCUCCAGGCCAUUCAGUCAGCAUUGGGCUGAACCAGAUGGCAGCCUUCUUGCCCCUGCCCUCCAGGAUGGCACUCCAGCCCAUCUUUGGGCUCAGGGAGCAUAUCCCUCCCUCACCCCAACAAUGCUUCUGUUCCAGGAGAAGUCUGAGCACCCGUGGGGCAACCAGCACUGCCCAACUGCAAAGGGCUUCUGGGGGCCCCUCCAACAGCUACCGUGAGCUCUUCCCCUCCAUCUCUACAGCCCCACUCCAGCCCCUCACCCCUUCCCAACCCCACUCCUCCACCUCCAACGCAGGCAACCAGGCAUCAAUCUGAUGGCUAUAUUUCCAAACACUUUGCUUUUUCUAUGAAAUUAUAUAUCUCUGUGUGUCCAUGUUGAGAUAAAAAUGUAGGCUUUUGUAGAUAUUUUUUAAACGUGGAUGGGAUUAUAUUGUGCAUAUUAGCUUGAAACUUGCUUUAUCAUCAGGUGUACAAUAAAGCGAUUCAAUAUUCGUGUAUUCUGAAAUGUGCUUUUUCACUUCACACUUUUAUUAGGGCUCUUUAUACAUCAGACACACAAAGCAACACAAUUCUUUUUUGUCUUCUUUUUUGCAUGGGUUUAUUUAGCCCGUUUUCUAGUGAUGGACAUUCAAGCUGUUUCCACUGUUACAGUGAUCUACUGAUGUUCUCAAACCUUCUUGUGCCAUAUCAGAGGGUCCCUCCACGCAGAUUCCUGAAAGUAGACUGCACGCUCUCAUCUUCCCCUUCAACUUGGGGAACUUCAGGGCUCACUUUCACCCACAGGCAGCGUACUAGUAUACAUUCCUGUACAAAGGGCAGUUCCCUCUUCAGGAAACACCGAGCACCAGCUCUUAGCCCUGUGUUCCAUACCCCACUGCCCUGUUGCGGACCUCGCAGACAUCACCAUCUCCCUGGGUCAUCCCCACCCUCCAUCUCUCCUGAACUGUGUCUAUGGCAGUGGUCGGCAAACUGCUCUGUUGACCAAUGAGUUUGCUGACCACUGGUCUGU